rnacentral:rRNA from 1 species
UACGUAGGCAGCAAGCGUUGUUCGGAGUUACUGGGCGUAAAGAGUGCGUAGGCGGUCCUGUAAGUUUGGUGUGAAAUCUCCCGGCUCAACUGGGAGGGUGCGCCGAAGACUGCAGGGCUUGAGUAUGGGAGAGGUAAGCGGAAUUCCUGGUGUAGCGGUGAAAUGCGUAGAUAUCAGGAGGAACACCUGUGGUGUAGACAGCGUACUGGACCAUAACUGACGCUGAGGCACGAAAGCGUGGGUAGCAAACAGG